rnacentral:rRNA from 1 species
GUGGGGAAUCUUCCGCAAUGGACGAAAGUCUGACGGAGCAACGCCGCGUGAGUGAAGAAGGUUUUCGGAUCGUAAAGCUCUUUCGUUAGGGACGAACGUGCUCUUUGUGAAUAAUGAGGAGUAAUGACGGUACCUAAAUAAGAAGCCACGGCUAACUACGUGCCAGCAGCCGCGGUAAUACGUAGGUGGCAAGCGUUGUCCGGAAUUAUUGGGCGUAAAGCGCGCGCAGGCGGGAUAUCAAGUCUGUCUUAAAAGUGCGAGGCUCAACCUCGUGAGGAGACAGAAACUGGUAUUCUUGAGUGUCGGAGAGGAAAGUGGAAUUCCAAGUGUAGCGGUGAAAUGCGUAGAGAUUUGGAAGAACACCAGUGGCGAAGGCGACUCACUGGCCCAAUACUGACGCUGAGGCGCGAAAGCGUGGGGAGCAAACAGGAUUAGAAACCCCUGUAGUCC